rnacentral:rRNA from 1 species
CCAAUAGCGUAUAUUAAAGUUGUUGCAGUUAAAAAGCUCGUAGUUGAAUUUCGGGACCGGUGGGUUGGUCGUGCCUCCGGUACGGUACUGUCCUUACCGGUUCCUCCCUUCUGAAGAACCGCGAUGUCAUUAAUUUGGUGUCGCGGGGAAUCAGGACUGUUACUGUGAAAAAAUUAGAGUGUUUAAAGCAGGCUAAAGCUUGAAUACAUUAGCAUGGAAUAAUGAAAUAGGACGUUUGAUCUUAUUUUGUUGGUUUCUAAGAUCGACGUAAUGAUUAAUAGGGAUAGUUGGGGGCAUUAGUAUUCAAUUGUCAGAGGUGAAAUUCUUGGAUUUAUUGAAGACUAACUACUGCGAAAGCAUUUGCCAAGGAUGUUUUCAUUAAUCAAGAACGAAAGUUAGGGGAUCGAAGACGAUCAGAUACCGUCGUAGUCUUAACCAUAAACUAUGCCGACUAGGGAUCGGAUGAUGUUAAUUUUUAAUGACUCAUUCGGCGCCUUACG